rnacentral:rRNA from 1 species
AACGAACGCUUCCUUCCUUCCUAACACAUUCAAUUCGAACGAGACCUUCGGGUCUAGUUGCUCACGGGUGCGUAACGCGUGGGAACCUGCCCUUAGGUUCGGAAUAACUCCCCGAAAGGGGUGCUAAUACCGGAUAAUGUCUUCGGACCAAAGAUUUAUCGCCUUUGGAUGGGCCCGCGUUGGAUUAGCUAGUUGGUAGGGUAAAAGCCUACCAAGGCGACGAUCCAUAGCUGGUCUGAGAGGAUGAUCAGCCACACUGGGACUGAGACACGGCCCAGACUCCUACGGGAGGCAGCAGUGGGGAAUAUUGGACAAUGGGCGAAAGCCUGAUCCAGCAAUGCCGCGUGAGGGAGGAAGGAAUUAGGGUUGUAAAGCUCUUUUACCCGGGAUGAUAAUGACAGUACCGGGAGAAUAAGCUAAGGAUAAAUCCGGG